AGCACAGUUUGAGCACACCAUUUUGAUAACUGCAGAUGGUGCUGAGAUUCUAACGCAGUGCUAGCGACGGUCCUGCAACAGCAUCGACAAUUCAAUAUUGAAAAUGGGACAAGAGAAGAAAAGAAGACAUGUACAAGCGUUUUUAAACUUGAAACCCCUACUUAUGUAGACAAUGGCACACGAGACUUGGGGUGUUGAAUAGUUACAGACUUGCAGGUAAAUGAUUUGCGUGGGACAGGGUAAUCCUGAAACCUUGGCCGAUGUAUGUGGCGGCACGUAUUGUUUGUUGAAUAUAAUUUAUGAAUUCAGUUAUCACAGGGAGCACACGUUGCAUAUCUAUGAAAAAAGAUUUUACGCUUGUUUCUUUCUCUUGUUUGAGACAAGUUGUGAAUCUAGAAUAUUGUGGGAACAGCCAGAAGGAAGAUAGAAAGACCAGUUACUGGUUCAGAUGGAUUAUACGAGGUUGCUACUCUCCUUCCCGACUGCCAUUUCCUUUUUAAAGUCACUCAUUCUUCAACUCCAUGUUGUGAUGGACAUGUUCUAUUUUAACUUUAGUUACUCAAAAACCUAAAUGAUGGAUGUUUUUCCUCUAUUCUCAAACCAAUAUACCUAUUUGAGAUGUCUCCAUGUGUUAGCGUGAUUUGGCCAA
rnacentral:misc_RNA from 1 species